rnacentral:lncRNA from 1 species
UAUUAAGGGACCUGAGGACAAGAAGAAGCACCUCAUUAUUGGUGUGUCCUCAGAUCGAGGACUUUGUGGUGAUAUUCAUUCCUCGGUGGUUAAACAAAUGAAGAAUGACAUGGCUGCCCUCACAGCAGCUGGGAAAGAAGUUAUGAUUGUUGGAGUUGGUGAUAAAAAUCAAGAGUAUACUUUAUAGGACUCACUCUGGUGAGUUUCUGGUGUCCUUCAAAGACGUGGGGCGGAAGCCCCUACUUUUGAAGAUGCAUCAGUCAUUGCCUUGGAGUUGUUAAAUUAGAGAUUUGAAUUUGAUGAAGGCUCUGUCAUUUUUAAUCAAUUCAGGUCUGUUAUCUCGUACAAAACAGAAGAGAAGCCCGUCUUCUCUCUCAAUACCAUUGUGGCUGCUGAGAGCAUGAGUAUUUAUAAUGACAUUGAUGCCGACAUGCUGCAGAAUUACCAGGAAUGCAAUCUGGCCAACAUCAUCUGCUACUCCCUGAAGGAGUCCACCACCAGUGAGCAGAGUGCCAGGAUGACCACUGUGGACAAUGCCAGCAAGAACGCCUUUG